rnacentral:lncRNA from 1 species
AGCGAAGGGCUGGAGGCAAACACCGAGCUCCCCCUGAGCCGCCUGGGAGCAGGGAGGGUUCUGCUACCCUGAGGGGCCCUCCCCGCGGGGCAGAGGGGUUUCCUCAGCAGUGCCCCGGAGCAGGGACCGCGCCAGCCAGCAGAAACAGCUAGUUGUUGUCUGCAGUGAAGAAUAAUUGGAAGCAUGGUGCCUGUUUCUUUUCCUUGACAUGAAAUUACUGAAAUCAUAUUUGGCCGAGCAAGCAUGAAGACCACAGAAGGACAGAGAUGGGAGAUCGUCAUUAGUUUAACAAGGAGUGUUCCACUGACUGACCUCUUUUUGUUUUCAAAUGAAGAGGAGCCAAGAAUAGGACAGCUUGGGAAGGUGAGCUGCGUAUAGCUCGUCAGGCUGAGCUCAUCCUCGUCUACGGCCAAACGUUGGUUUCUCAUUUCUAGAAGAUGAAAGAUGUGAUGACUCAGGAAAAACUGGAAUCUUAGUAACUGUGGUGGGCAUUGAGCCUUGCCGUCCACAAGAGAAAGCUUGCUGCUCGAGAUGUGAGUCUUCAGAUGUUCCUGCCGCCAUAUCUGACAGCUGCUGCCAAGAUUCCCUGGUGGGAUGGACUCUUAUACCUCAACAACCAGAAGCCCAAGUAAACUCUUCUAUAAAUUGAAUGACUCAUGCUUAAAAAAAAAAACAAAAAACAAACUA